GCAGGGUUCAUUUCACAAAUAUAAAUUACAGUAAUUGAGCUUUAAAGAAAAAGCGUGUAUCUGAAGCCAUUUUUUAAGUAUAACUGGUAAAAAAAAUAGAUUUAUUUAUAGUAUCUACAAAGCACUUAAAAGUUAUCCAACUAACUUUUCGCUUGAUUUUGAAGUUUUUUUAGACUAUACUUUGAAAUUUGGUGCCACCUUCUGGUCACAAUAAUGAACUAUUACUACUUGUGGAAGAGCAAUAGAGAUGCAAAUACAGUAUAUGAUUUAAAGUGCUUCACCUGAUGUGUAGAUGUCUAGCACCCGAAGAAACUGUGUUCUUAAAGGUUUCCUCGUUGCUUGUGACCUACCGCAUAGGUGUUAUCCGCCAAUACAAAGAGACAGGCCUAUCUAACCAACAAACUAGCCCAAGACUUAUGUGUCCCAGCACUGAGGUAAAUUAAACUUUGGUUACAGAGAUUCUUGAUGAUAGUUAGAUCAAGGUAAAUUGCCUGUAUAAAUAACAGACUGGAGCUGUGAUGAUGCUAUGCUUGAUGAAUCUGAUGGAGGUUGGCACUUAUGUUCUGCAGGGAGCACUGAUUGUCAAGCCACAUGAUCUCAGGUGCUCCUCCAUAACGUUACUUUUAGUGAGUUUGAGCCUUUGUCAGUCAAAAGGAGUUUUAUUCUAUUCGGAUGACCCCUUCAGCUGUGGCAUUCCAUGAGGAUGUGAUGCAUCUCUUGUGAGAGAUCAAUGGUAUUUCUCAUAACGAUAUCCUUUAAUGAAACUGAUAUUUUGAUCAAUACCCCUCUAAUUAUCCUGAGUUCAUGAAACUCUGUUGGGACUGGGAACACUGGAAUCUUCCAGUCUACCAAGUUCCAGAAAUGUCCUUAAUUCCACUUUCAAUGCACCCCUUAAGUCUUCAGGCUACCCUUUCCUAACUUGGCAUCACGGUGACUCUGUGCUGGUUGGCAUCAGAGUGACUGCUCAGUGCUGGUUGGCAUCAGAGUGACUGCUCAGUACUGGUUGGUAUCAGAGUGACUGCUCAGUGCUGGUUUGACUCAUACCUUGUAACUGACAAGUGGCUUGAGGUGCAGAGGAGUCCAAAUCACAUCAGGUAACAACCGGUGUUCCCCAAGGCUCUGUCCUUGGUUCUCUCCUCUUCUCUGUUUAUGUUUUCUGUCUAGGCCAGAUGAUCCAGUCAGAUGGCUUCUACUACCACUGCUAUGCUGAUGAUAUCCAGAUCUACUUGAUCUUCAUUCUUGACGGCACCAUAAUUUCUGCUAGUCCAUGCUAGGUUGACAUCGCAGCCUGGAUGAGGGACCAACACCUCCACUUAAUCUCUCUAAAAUGAGCUUCUUGUCAUCCCUGCCAGCACUAUAAUUCAUACUGACGUGAUUGUUCAAGGACUACCAGGAACCUAGAGUUCAAGUGCUUGGUUCAUCAAUGGGCUGGCUCUCAUCUUCAUUAAAAGGCUCCUCGAGACCAAUGUCCCAUCUCGCCCCCUCUGGUCAGCAAAUCAACAACACCUGGACCUCCUUCCAACAUGGGAGAAGUGUCACUGCAUACAGUUUUCUUGUGUGGUUCCCUGAUCGUAAACAAUAAACAAUUCAUAAAGAAAUACAUGCUGGCCUGGGGUGAAAUAAUGAGCCUUCUUGGUCUGGUGCAGGAUACAUCGAAAAGAGGAACCCUGGAAUUUUACUGUCAGUCUCUCUGUCUGAAUGCUAGGAGUGAUUCUACUCCAUUGGGCCCUUGAGCAAGGCUCUUAACCUGCGAUUGCUUCUUCCUGGGUAUGAUGUACACCUACAUCCAACCCUGCAAGCAGGUCCUCCAACUUUCAGGGAAAAUGUGGGGGAUUGGCAAUUAUGAGGUAUCACCCGCCACACGGCUGCACUCGGGUUCUCAUCCCUAAGCUGGUUCGUCCUGUGGUGGGUAUCAGCGCACGCUCCUUACCUUACCUCACUGUGCAGAUCUCUGUUUCUACACCACUGGUGGAUUCCUGCAGGCCAUCAGUGAUGCACAUGGCCUCAGCAAGGCUGCUGUGUCCAAAUCUGUGCCUGUGUUGGUCACAUUUCUGUUGCAUCAUGUUUACAACUACAUACAAUUUCCAGCAGGAGAGGAUGCCUCGCAUGACGAUUGGUAAAUACUCGUAGAUUUCACUUGUUCUGUACCUAUCUUCAUUAUCUUACUCGUUAUUCACUAAGAUCGAUUGCUUUCUGGAAACAGCCCUGACUGUUUGUACUGAUAUCCAGUCGAAACUUACAAGUUUCUGUUAUAUCUCCAGUGUUGCUUGAACUGCAUUACUUCUGUUUAAUUGCCCUACUUUUGCUAUCAGCCCUUUAUUUGUUUACUGGAAUUGAUCAUUUUAAUUCAUUUGGAUUUUUUUUUACUAUGCAUACCUUGUUGUAUCUUGUUAUUAGACAAUAAAUUGGUGGUGUUUAAUUAUUA